rnacentral:tRNA from 1 species
GCCUGGAUGGCUCAGUUGGUAGAGCACAUGACUUGUAAUCUCAGGGUUAUGAGUUCAAGCCUGAUGUUGGGCA